GGGCAAUACACUGGGCAAAAAAAGGGAACUUGUACAACCAUUAUCUAAGCCCGAACGGUUCUUUCAUCAAUAAAGUUGAAGAGCGGCUUCUCAAUACCUAAUACAGAAACUCAAUCUUGAGGAUAAUCACGAUUUGCUAGAGGUGGUACCUGUAGGGAUGGUAGUGAGGACAGUACGUGAUCUAGCAUUCCCACUCACAGUGAAUGUCACUUCCAACAUUUAGAAAUCGCUGGCUGGAGGUAGAUUUGAGCUGAAAUAGAAUAUGGUGCAACUGUUGCACACUAAUGAGAAGUUUAUAGGUUUGACUCAUGAAGAUUCCCAAGUACACAUCUAGAAGUUUUUGGAUAUCAGCGAUACUUACACACCAACUGGGGUAUCUCCAGAUUAUAUGAGGCUAACAUUAUUUUCCUCUUCGCUAUUGGGGAAAGCAACGAGAUGGUUGAAGUCGAAACAAAAAAAUUCCAUUACUAUAUGGAAACACUUGGCUCGUAAAUUUCUAAUCAGUUUCUUUCCUUUAGGAAGGAUAGAAAAGUUGAGAAGAGAAAUCCUGAGCUUUAAACAAAAAUCUGAAGAGAAUUUACAUAAAGCUUGGGCAGGUUUAAAUCUCUACUUAUCAGUUGUGCUCAAAACCAUCAAGCUAAUAAGGUAUUGGUCCAUACCUUCAUUGAGGGAGUAGAAACCAACACCAAAAUUUCUCUUAACUCUACUACAGGUGGACAGGCACCGGAGAAAACCUAUGAUAAGCUGUAUACACUGCUAUGACCUAAACAAGUAGAAAUGUUGGAAGUUGAUACUAUGACCAUCUUGACUGCAUGGAUUACAUCAAUGCAGAAUAUGAUAUUUACACAGUUUAAUAAUUUGGCGUUGGGACAACAUAAGGUGUCAGUAAAUAUGGUUCACCAGCAACCAAUGUGGUAUGAGGUUUGUGAAGGUAGUGAACAUGCAAUAGAAUAGUGUGGAACUAACCCUGAGUCUGUAAACUUUGUAGGUAAUGCAUAAAGGGGUAUGGGUAACCAAAACUACGAAAAUACUUACAAUCCAAAUUGGAGAAACCAUCCAAACAUUUCAUGGGGUAGAAAUUAGCAAAAUGAGCAUCAAGGGAAGACCUAAUUCAGACCACAAAGAGGUGGGAAAUAAUAUAAUAAUCAAGGACAAAGUAAUUAGAGUACGGGAAAACCAUGAAACAUGAUUGUUGAGGACUUGUUAAAACAGAUCAUGAUUGACCAAGAUAAUUUAGCUACAAAUGUUCAUCAAAAUCAGUUAGCCACUCAGAAUUUAGAAAAAUAAUUAGGGCAGUUGGCAAGUGACCAGAACUCUCGCCAACUAGGUGGUUUGCUAGGUACACUGACCCUAACCCCAAAUAGGUGAAUGAAGUGAGUACCCGUAGUGGUCAGCCACUAACUAAAUUGACUCCCCAAACUAAAUCGGCUGAGGUGAAAGGUAAAUGACAAGUUGGGGAAGAAGGUAAAUCUUGCAGGCCAAAGGCAGAUGAAGAACCAAAAACAAAACCUCCUCCUCCAUUCCCACAAAAGUUCAAGAAAAAGAAGGAAGAGGAGUGAUUUGAGAAGUUCAUUGACUUGCUAAAAUAGGUACAAAUUAACUUACCUUUGUUUGAUAUUUUGCAGGGCAUCCCUAAGUACGCCAAGUAUGUCAAGGACAUUGUGGAUAAAAAAAAAAGUUGGCAGUAUGAAAUAGUAGUACUCAUUGAGGAGUGCAGCUCCAGAAUUCUAAAUAAAGUUAAGCUCCAAACCAAGCAGAAAGAUCUAGGGAGUUUCAUGGUAUAAGUUACUAUUGAUAGGUGUGUAAAUGCUAGAGGAUUAUGUGAUGUGGGUGCAAGUAUCAACUUGAUGCACACUUCUAUGUUCAAGAAAUUAGGCUUGUGGAAUCCGAAGCCUACCACCAUUUUGUUUUAACUAUUAGACCACUCAGUAGCCAAACCAAAUAGAAUCAUUGAAGAUGUCUUAAGUGCAGGUGGGAUCACUUAUUUUCCCUGUAGACCUUUUCAUCCUAGACUUUGAGCCAUAUUCGGAGGUAUCUUUGAUUUUGGGAUGCCCAUUCUUGGCAAAAGAGGGGCAUUAAUAGAUGUAGCGGCUGGACGGUUGAUAAUAAGAGCUCAUGAAAGGUUUGAAGUAUUUGAUGUGUAUAACGCAUUGAAAUUUCCUUCUGUAUACGAAGACCUCUCUACAAUAAUGAUGAUUGAUGAAGCAGUGGCAGAGAAAUGCGUGGAAUAAAGGGAUCCUAUAAAAAAAGUGGUAAUGGGUCAAGACAUAGAGGGUGAUGUGCUAGCAUAAGAAAUUGUUGGUGUGUUAGAUUCCCAAAAUAUGAGUAUGUAGAAAAAACAGGUGGAACUAUUAAAUAGAGUAUUAGGUCACUCACCUAAACCCUCUACUGAGGAAGCCCCAAAACUGGAAUUGAAACCACUUCCAUCUUAUCUAAAGUAUGCAUUCCUUAGGUGUAAUGAUACUUUAACGGUAAUCCUUUUAUCUACUUUGUCUCAAAUGCAGAUUACAACAGCUCUAGAAGGGCUUGGACGAAGAAAUAAAGCUAUGGGUUGGAGAAUAGAAAAUAGACAUGGGAUUAGUCCUGCCUUAUGCAUGCAUAGGAUCCUCACGGAGUAACAACACAAACCAGUAGCAUAACCUCAGCGUAGAUUGAAUCCGGUGAUGAAAGAUGUGGUGAGAAAAGAGGUCAUUAAGUGGGUGGAUUAAGGCAUCAUAUACCCCAUUCAGAUAGCAAAUGGGUGAGUCCCAUCUAGUGUGUACCUAAAAAGGGGGGAUGACUUUAAUUAAAAAUUUGACAAAUGAGCUAAUCCCCACUAGGACAAUUAUUGGAUGGAGAAUUUGCAUAGACUACCAUAGAAUAAAUGAGGGGACAAGGAAGGAUCAUCACCCAGUUCCUUUCAUUGAUCAAAUGCUAGACAAGUUGGUUGGGCAGGAAUACUAUUGUUUCCUGGAUGAGUAUUUAGGGUAUAAUCAGAUCUCAAUUGUAAUUGAGGAUCAUGCAAAGACUACUUCCGCUUGUCCCUAUAGAACAUAUGCAUUUAAGCGUAUGCCAUUUGGAUUGUGUAAUGCUUUUGCAAAUUUUCAAAGGUGUAUGAUGGAAGUGUUUCAGACAUGGUCGAGGAUUUUGUGGAGAUUUUUAUGGAUGAAUUUUCAGUCUUUGGGGAGUCUUUUGAUUUAUGCUUGCAAAAUCUGGAUAGGAUGUUAGUAAGUUGCGAAGAGACAAAUCUUGCACUAAACUAGGAAAAGUUACAUUUUCUAGUAAAGGAAGGGAUUAUCUUAGAUCACAAAGAGUCAAAAGAAGGGAAAGAAGUAGACAAAGCCAAGAUUCAGGAGAUAGAGAAGCUACCUCCCCCUAUUUCAAUAAAAGAAGUCCACAACUUUUUGGUUCAUACUAGGUUCUAAAGAAGAUUCAUUCAGGAUUUUUCGAAAAUAGCCAGGCCCAUGUGCAGUCUGUUGGAUAAAGAAGUAAAAUUCACAUUUGAUAAGAAGUGUGUGCGGUCCUUCAAGCUAUUGAAUAAGAGGCUCACGGAAGCUCCAAUCUUGAUUGCUACUAAUUGGGAGAGAUCUUUUGAGCUUAUGUGCGAUGCUAGUGAUGUAGGAGUUGGGGCAUCCCUUGGUCAGAGAAAAGAGAAGAUCUUCCAAGCAAGACUAUUAAUUCAUCACAUGCAAACUACACUGUUAUUGAGAGGGAGAUGCUAGUAUUAGUUUAUGCUUUCUAUAAGUUCAGAUCUUAUCUAGUAGGUACUAAAGUGAUUUUUUACACUUACCAUAUAGCUCUUAGGUACCUAUUCAACAAGAAUUAUGUAAAGCCAUGGAUCAUAAGAUGGAUCUUAUUUCUAUGAGAGUUUGAUACAAAAAUCAUCGAUUGUAAGGGUUGUAAUAAUCAAGUGGCCAAUCACCUUUCAAAGUUAGAGAGAUUGACACAUAUUAGGGAAUAGAUAUAGAUCAAAGAGAAAUUUCUAGACGAGCAGUUGUUAGCCCUUGAGGUGGCUGACUUACUAUGGUUUGCCGAUAUCGUCAAUUACUUUGUUAGUGGAGUUUUUCCACCAGAUGCAACCUCAUAAUAAAAGAAAAGGUUGAUGCAUGAGGCCAGGUUCUACAAAUGUGAUGAGCCUUACUUAUUUAAGUAGGGUGUUGACCGAAUAAUAGGAAGGUGUGUGCCAGAAGCCUAGGUAAGCCAAGUGUUGGAUAGUUGCCACUUCUCACCAUAUGGUGGCUAUCAUGAAAGAGCGAGCACUGCCCAUAAAGUACUACAAUCAGGUUUGUUUUGGCCUAAAUUGUUUAAAGAUGCUAUAGGGUAUGCGAAGAACUAUGAUCAGUGUCAAAGAAUAGGCACAAUAUCAAGGAGAGAUGAAAUGCUUUUGAACAACAUUCUGGAGGUUGAAAUAUUUGAUGUUUGGGGCAUGGACUUCAUGGAUCCAUUUCUAUCAUCCUAUGGGAAUCAACAUAUAUUAGUGGCAGUUGAUUAUGUGUCCAAAUGGGUUAAAGCCGUAGCCCUUCCCACUAAUGAUUCAAAAGUGGUGAGCAAGUUCUUGAAGAAGCACAUCUUCAGUUGAUUUGGUACUCCCUGAGCCAUUAUCAAUGAUAGAGGAACAUACUUCAUAAAUCAAAUAGUGAAUAUCUCAGCAAAGUAUGGGGUGAGGUAUAAGGUGGCUAUGACUUAUCAUCCGCAAACCACUGGGCAAGUUGAGGUCUCUAACAGGGAAGUGAACCAGAUAUUGCAAAAGUCUGUGAAUGCACAAAGGAAAGAUUGGUCAGCAAAGUUGGAUGAGGCACUAUGUGCAUAUAGAACUACUUACAAAACACCUAUUGGGAACUCCCCAUAUCAAAUGGUAUUUGGUAAAGCGUUUCACCUACCAGUUGAGUUAGAGCAUUAAGCCUAUUCGGCAAUCAAGAAGCUGAAUCUGAACCCAGAGUUGGCAGGACGGAAGUGGCUGGACAAAAUACAUGAUUUAAAAGAGUUUAGGCUUCACGUCUAUGAAAAUGCCAUCCUUUAUAAAGAGAAAAAAAGAGAUGGCAUUACAAGCAUAUUGUAACCCGCAACUUCGAACCGGGGAAAAAGGUACUCCUCUUUAACUCUAAACUCAAAAUUUUUCGAGGAAAGUUAUAGUCCAAGUGGAGUGACACUUUUGAAGUAGUGCGUGUGACACCUUAUGGAGCUGUGGAAUUGUGGAAUGCAACAAAGAUGUACAUAUUUUUGGUUAAUCGGCAAAGAUUCAAGCACUACUUUGGUAAUGAUGUUGAUCGUAAGCAGAAAGCUAUAGAACUUGAAGAUGAGUGAAGAAAGAACUGGCUCGUGCCACGAUGGUAAAUCAAGUGAUACACGGGAGGCAACCCAUGAUUUGUAUUAGCACGUAGGACUUAAUUUUGUAAUUUUGCUUUUUAAGGUAGAAUUUGAUUUUGUGUUAUUUUUCUUGGAAAGUUUAGGAAUAGAAUGAGUACUAUAAAAAAGUGUCAUGCCACGACAAAAAAUAAGGCACUAGAUGGGAGGCAACCCACCAUGUUUGUCUUUCUAGUCUUGUGUGGUUGAUGCACAGAGUGACAGAAGAUAAUUUGGAGUGAGUGGAAGUAGACACGCAACGCGAGAAAUGAAAAAUCCCAAAAUUGGCGGGCUGGCACACCGCGUCAGGACCUAAAUUAUUGAGGUCAUGGUCGGGUGCUCUGUAGGCGCACCACGCCAGGAGGAAAACUAAAAAGGCUUGGAUGGAUGCUGUAGUGGCGCACUGCGCCAAGCCUUAAGUGAGAAAUUUCCAGGUGGGCGCGAUACUAGCACGCCGUGCCAAUAAUGUGCCAUAGAUGGAUUCGGGCCUAAAUAAGAAAAAAUUCCAAGUUAAAAGAACCAACAAUCCUUUCAGUACAAUAUUACCUCAACCCUUCCCGCUCCCAUUACCUAAUUCUUCAGUUACCACAACCCUUCUCCUUCAUCUUCCCACUCAAAUUCUUCCUAUAAAAACCCUUCCCCACCACCUCCAUUGUUACACACACCCCUUAAAAACUCCAAAGCACCACUUUUUCUUCCUUUUUUAGUCACCAACAUCCACAAACCACCACCAUAAACACACAAUCUGACUCUCUCUCUUCAAAUUAUUCCUCCCUCUUUUCCAAUGGCACCCAAGGGUAAACAGGUAGAUGGAGGAGUAGUAACAAAAGGUCUCAAAAAAGUGGGGCCUCCUUUUUUGCUGAACCAACAAGCUCAAGACUACCACCGUGACAUUCGGCAAGCAUGAGGUAGAGCAGUAUGGAUUGGAUUGGUUCGAUUCCCAGAAGGACGCCAAGUAUAUGGGAGAUGAGUAUGUCAAUGAGGGUAAGGUUACAGGCCGAGUUCCCCCAAAUUCAUAAGAUGGUGAAGAACUUGGUCUUCAAUAUAUCUUCUAGGACCAAGGUUCAAAGGAUGACGAGGCAAACGUGACAAAGAGUAACCCAUACGAGGAGGUGCACUCAGUUAAAUCAACAAUUGGUAACUCCUGAUGAGUGUUAAGAGAAACAAAUGGGUUAGAAAAUUAAAUAUUAUGAGAAGUAACUACUUCAAUCAUUAGAAGAUGUCGAAGGGGGAAACAUGUGACUCGUAUUCGAGGAAGAUCGAUGGAAAGGAUAAAUCCUACCUCUUGUGCUACAAGUGUUGUAAGAACUAUCUAGGGGACUGCAUGGCUGGCACAUAUGGUUUCUAUGGUUGUGGUAAGCGUGGACAUAAGAGGAGAGACUGUAUAAUUGAUGCUAGAAAAGAAAGAAAAAUUCAUCAACAGGUUUAGCCUAGUACUCCUUCAGAUUACACGACCUAGGAAGGUACUUC